AGCCAAAGCUCCUCUGAACCCUACCUGGGGCUCUCCCACAAAGAUGCCUCCUGGAUUCCAGCUCCUCCCGUCAAAGUUCAAGGCCUGGGAAAUGUGGCCUUCAAGGACAAAAAUAAUCCCCUGCGGGGAUAGGGCAAAAAUGAACCCCGAAGGGAGCUUGGGGGGCCGCCUGGACUUGCCCACCAGUGAGGGCCGAGACUUUCCUCUGAGAAGGAGUUUGCGACGCUAUGCUUGGAAGAAAGGAGGACAUCUGACCUGCGGGGUAUCAUGGGGAUGAAGGAGGACACCCCGCCCCACAUGGAAGGAGCAACAGACACGGAGCACAGCAGAGGCAUGAACGGUGGCAUGCCAAGAAAGCUCUAGAAGUUUUGCUCAACAGUGACCACUAAUUCUCAUAAUAUACAAAGUGUAGUUUUUCUGAACAGUAACUCAAGCAGCAAGCUAAUAACAUCAAUCAUAUGUGAUCAUGACUUUGCACUGGAGAUAACUGUCCUUGAACUAAGAACAAUGAAAAACCCCUGAAGCAAAUUUCUCUUUUAAACUAAAAAGAUGCUAAUUUAUGUAACCCCCACAAUAAGCUGACAUUAACUGCUUAAAUGAAUGAGAUUUUACUUCAAUUUUUAAACAGCACUCAAAGCAAUUACCUUUCUCACU
rnacentral:lncRNA from 1 species